GACGAACGCUGGCGGCGUGCUUAACACAUGCAAGUCGAACGAUGAACCCGGAGCUUGCUCUGGGGGAUUAGUGGCGAACGGGUGAGUAACACGUGAGUAACCUGCCCUGGACUCUGGGAUAAGCGUUGGAAACGACGUCUAAUACCGGAUAGGACCUUGGAUCGCAUGAUCUGGGGUGGAAAGUUUUUUCGGUCUGGGAUGGACUCGCGGCCUAUCAGCUUGUUGGUAAGGUAAUGGCUCACCAAGGCGUCGACGGGUAGCCGGCCUGAGAGGGUGACCGGCCACACUGGGACUGAGACACGGCCCAGACUCCUACGGGAGGCAGCAGUGGGGAAUAUUGCACAAUGGGCGAAAGCCUGAUGCAGCAACGCCGCGUGCGGGAUGACGGCCUUCGGGUUGUAAACCGCUUUUAGUAGGGAAGAAGGGCUUCGGCUUGACGGUACCUGCAGAAAAAGGACCGGCUAACUACGUG
rnacentral:rRNA from 1 species